rnacentral:rRNA from 1 species
AGAGUUUGAUCCUGGCUCAGGAUGAACGCUAGCGGCAGGCUUAAUACAUGCAAGUCGAGGGGCAACAGGGGUAGCAAUACCUGCUGGCGACCGGCAAACGGGUGCGGAACACGUACAGAACCUUCCUUUAAGCGGGGGAUAGCCCGGAGAAAUCCGGAUUAAUACCCCAUAGCAAUAGUGAUUGGCAUCAAUUAUUAUUUAAAGAUUUAUCACUUAAAGAUGGCUGUGCGUAUGAUUAGGUAGUUGGUUGAGGUAAUGGCUCACCAAGCCUGCGAUCAUUAACUGGUGUGAGAGCACGACCAGUCACACGGGCACUGAGACACGGGCCCGACUCCUACGGGAGGCAGCAGUAAGGAAUAUUGGUCAAUGGACGCAAGUCUGAACCAGCCAUGCCGCGUGAAGGAUGAAGGCCCUCUGGGUUGUAAACUUCUUUUAUGUGGGAAGAAAUGCAUUCUUUAUAGAGUGUUUGACGGUACCAUAGGAAUAAGCACCGGCUAACUCCGUGCCAGCAGCCGCGGUAAUACGGAGGGUGCAAGCGUUAUCCGGAUUCACUGGGUUUAAAGGGUGCGUAGGUGGGCUUGUAAGUCAGUGGUGAAAUCUCCGUGCUUAACAUGGAAACUGCCAUUGAUACUAUAGGUCUUGAAUUUUCCGGAGGUUAGCGGAAUAUGUCUGUAGCGGUGAAAUGCUUAGAUAUGACAUAGAACACCAAUUGCGAAGGCAGCUAACUACAGGGACAUUGACACUGAGGCACGAAAGCGUGGGAUCAAACAGGAUUAGAUACCCUAGUAGUCC